AUUGAACGCUGGCGGCAGGCCUAACACAUGCAAGUCGAGCGAGCGGCGGACGGGGGAGUAAUGUCUGGGAAACUGCCAGAUGGAGUGGGAUCAAUCCGUGAAAAGGUAGCUAAUACCGCAUACAAUCAGAUUGGCCCAGAUGGGAUUAGCUAGUAGGUGGGGUAAUGGCGCACCAGGGCGACGAGCCCUAGAUGGUCUGAGAGGAUGACCCGCCACACUGGAACUGAGACACGGUCCAGACUCCUACGGGGGGCAGCAGUGGGGAAUAUUGCACAAUGGGCGCAAGUCUGAUGCAGCCAGGCCGCGUGAGUGAAGAAGGCCUUCGGGUUGUAAAGCACUUUCAGCGGGGAGGCGUUACCCGCACACGAAGCACCGGCUAACUACGUGCCAGCAGCCGCGGUAAUUC
rnacentral:rRNA from 1 species